CCGGGGAUUCUUGCCAUGCAGGUUUAAUAACAAGACUUUAAAUGUCGAAUUUGCGAAUGGCUAAAUAGUUCAGUUACAAUCUAAGUGGUUAUGAAAUUCCUUUAGGAUACAAAUAGGAAACUGACUGACUAACCAUAGUAAGAGUGGGUAAAACCACGAGUUUACGAGGACAAGAAUCAUGUGAGGUGGCAACAUCUCACUCUGUCGAAUCAUCGUAAAAUUAUUGAAUCACGCUUUAGUUGCUGGAGGAGCAGCUGACCCUGACUAAACCCGAUAUAUUGGACACCUUCCGCACCUACUGCCAGGAGAGACUCAUGCCUCGCAUCCUGUUGGCCAAUCGCGCGCGAAAAUUUCAUCGGGCAAGCGCAUGUAAUAUAAAUGAGUUGGGUGUGCUGGGCCCCACCAUCAAAGGAUAUGGCUUCGCAUCGAUGAAGAACGCAGCGAAAUGCGAUACGUAAUGUGAAUUGCAGAAUUCCGUGAAUCAUCGAAUCUUUGAACGCACAUUGCGCCCCUUGGUAUUCCAGGGGGCAUGCCUGUUUGAGCGUCAUUUCCUUCUCAAACAUUCUGUUUGGUAGUGAGUGAUACUCUUUGGAGUUAACUGCUGCUUCGGCGACUAUGCAUUAAUCAGCGGAAGUGACCCCAGCAGCAUGGAGACCAGAGCCCACUACAACUCAUCCAACAAGAGCUACAGACUGAGACUGACCAAGACCUGGAUCACGAACUCGCCUAUGGCCGAUCUGUUUGUAGUGUGGGCUCGGUGUGAAGAUGGCUGCAUUCGGGGCUUCCUGCUGGAGAAGGGGAUGCGGGGUCUCUCGGCCCCAGUCAGCUAAGGCAAGUUCUAUCAUUACCGAGUGUAGGGUUCCUAGCGAGCCCAACCUCCACCGUGUUUACUGUACCUUAGUUGCUUCGGCGGGCCGCCAUUCAGGGGCCGCGGGGGGCUACUCACGGGCCGCGCCCGCGGAGACACACGAACUCUGUCUGAUCUAGUGAAGUCUGAGUUGAUUGUAUCGCAUCAGUUAAACGCCCUCGACAGGAUGCAGUUUGGUGUCCCACUGGCCAGCGACUAGAAUGACUAGUCAGAGUCAGUCUAGAUGCAGCAAGAGAUUACCCGGGCAAACCUCAGAGACCUGCAGCUCGGCCGCUACUGAAAACGCAACAAGGCUGCCCCCGAGAGGCGAAGCGAACUGAAGAGGAAUAACUGUGGGAAAGCCCUGGACAUCGCCCUUAGAGAGUUUCGCUGUCAGCAUAGCAAUGGGAUUUCUGACGAGUAUCAAAUAAUAAUAAUAAUAAUAAUAAUAAUGGACUGACAGCGAAUCCACUUUUAACCAUGGAUGAGAGCAGACUCCAUUUACCUGACUGAACGAUGUUCUCUUGAGAGGAGAGUGACAUGGACGACUGACUGACUAGCUGACUGACUGACUGACUGACUCUGACACAGUGCGCCCUCCCGCUGACUGACUUAAGACUUAUGCCUUAUGCUGGGUGUUGGAGCAGAGUGAGAGGCACCGUCUUGAACCAGGAAUGCCUAGUAAUCGCAUGUCAUCAGCAUGCGAUGAUUACGUCCCCUGACGACAGCUGAUCGACUGACUGACUGACUGACAUUGAUUGUCCGGUGAGAAUGGAGGAUUUUGGUAUUCAGCUAGAGCUGACUGACUGAAGCUUGAAUCCANUCAAAUCUUAUAAUCUAGAGGAAGGAGAAGUCGUAACAAGGUCUCCGUAGGUG
rnacentral:rRNA from 1 species